UACGGAAGGCAGCAGCGGGGAAUAUUGCACAAUGGGCGCAAGCCUGAUGCAGCCAUGCCGCGUGUAUGAAGAAGGCCUUCGGGUUGUAAAGUACUUUCAGUCGUGAGGAAGGUGUUAAGGUUAAUAACCUUAGCAAUUGACGUUAGCGACAGAAGAAGCACCGGCUAACUCCGUGCCAGCAGCCGCGGUAAUACGGAGGGUGCGAGCGUUAAUCGGAAUUACUGGGCGUAAAGGGCACGCAGGCGGUUAAUUAAGUUGGAUGUGAAAUCCCCGGGCUUAACCUGGGAAUGGCAUUCAAGACUGGUUAGCUAGAGUCUUGUAGAGGGGGUAGAAUUCCAUGUGUAGCGGUGAAAUGCGUAGAGAUGUGGAGGAAUACCGGUGGCGAAGGCGGCCCCUGGGACAAGACUGACGCUCAUGUGCGAAAGCGUGGGGAGCAAACAGGAUUAGAUACC
rnacentral:rRNA from 1 species